UACGAGGGGGGCGAGCGUUGUUCGGAAUUAUUGGGCGUAAAGGGCGCGUAGGCGGUCGGAUAAGUCUUGUGUGAAAUCUUCGGGCUCAACUCGAAGUCUGCACAGGAAACUAUCUGGCUUGAGUGUGGGAGAGGUGAGUGGAAUUCCUGGUGUAGCGGUGAAAUGCGUAGAUAUCAGGAGGAACACCGGUGGCGAAGGCGGGUCUCUGGGCCGUUACUGACGCUGAGGAGCGAAAGCGUGGGGAGCGAACAGG
rnacentral:rRNA from 1 species